CGACACAUUUGUGAGUGCGUGAUUAUCCAAAGUGCUUUAGUAGUACGAAAGUGAAAUUGGCUUUAGUGAACGACCUCUUCUGUUCCCAAAAACUCGUUCAGGACCUUUGUUUUUCCGUUUGUUAAACCAACAGAUCGGUAACCGCACAGUGCACGAUCGGUCAAUUCAACAAUCUAAGUUGAGUUGGCCUAACAGUAAAGGAGCGAAACUCCAGACACCACUUCCGCCGGAGCAACCCUUCUCGGCGUGACCAAUACGGUCUCGUCCGUGGUCCGUCGAUAGCGUCAAAGAAGGGAACGCCGUUGACCCCCAGCUACGAAGCUAGCGUCUCUGGCGCGCCGCCAUCGCGCCAGGCCCAGAAAACGUUCGAUUCCGCCAUUGGAUCGUGCUGAUCAAGCCAGUAACCCGCCAUCCCAACGGACCCAGUCGUCAAACCUCCUCUCCGCAACAAAUACGAGCGCUCGUCAACGUCGUCGAACAUCACCAACG